CUCUAUUCUUCCUCCUUUCGGGGCCUCACCUCUGGACUCUGGUAAAGACUUGGGCGCCCUCCUCGGAAGCAGCCUCUGGGUGUCACCCCGCAAGGAAGCCUGGCCACUACCAAGCAGGUAGCCUGCCCUUGAGAGCUCUGAUAAUCAAAUCUGUCAUCAUGUUGCUAGGCUUGAGGAUCCUACAUCGGGCAGCCCGGCUGCCCCUUGGAAGUGGUCAGGUUUUGUCUCAGAUGCACACGGGCAGCAGUGCCCGCCAGCUCCCCAGGUUGGAUGGGUUUCUUGUUUUAGUUUGUUUCAUUUUUCAGACAGGGUCUCACUGUGUGGCCUUGAUCUCAAGAUCUUCCUGCUUCAGCCUCCUGAGUACUGGGACCAUAGGCGUGCACCACCCUGUUUGCUGGCUUUUGAAGUGUGAGGAGCAUGUUCCGGUCAAGCAUGGAGACGACCCCUGCGUGGCCUGGGGAAUGGUUCCCGAGAGUCCUCCUUCCCAGGGGUGGCCGUGAACACCUGAGAAUGUGAGGACCCGAAGCGUCCGCCAGUCCCUUAGUCCUGUUUCCAGAAGCCUCCUUUUGCACUUGUUCACCACAGCCUGAAGGAGCAAUUCGUGAUUCUCCAGUGGCAACGGGGGGCACCGAGGUUCUGCCCAGGCCCCGGCCCCGUCCUCCUCCCUUCACUCUGGGCUGGGGCAUCACUGCCUCCAGGAAGCCCCCAAGGCUUCUUCCCGGAUCCUCAGUUCUCCUCUGUGCUUUCCCAGCAGCCUGGGCUCCUCCAUCUCUGUCGGUCCCUGUGAUCCCUCUCUGUCCCCACCUGCACAGGUGACACCGUGGAUGGACAGGACGCCAUUGGCCCAUCAGUGCGUGGCACAGGGGACCUGCACCGCUUUACUUGUUGAGAGGACACAGGGUGGAUAGAAAGGCUUUGGGGACCACCCUGAUGUCUACUGCCUGCUCCCUGGAGAGGCAUGAGAGUCUGGGACGUAGAGCCAGGGCCCUGAGCCCCCUCACAUGGCUCCCAGGCGCCACUGCUCUCCCUCCAACUGUACCAUCCUUGGGGUCUCAGAGGGGCUCUCCACUGCUUCCAGCCCAGCCGCGGUGACCCUGGUCCAGGAACACUUCCUGGGGAUCAAAUAACCAGCUCCUCUGAGCCCCCAUCAAUCUGCGGCCGCUAAACGUCCUCUCACUGCAGGACCAACUACCUGAACCCUAACCCCAGUCCCCAGCCUGGGGACCGGCUGAGUAAUGUACUGUCAUCUCUGCUCCCAGGGCUGUAAUUCAGAGCGACCCGGUUGCUGUCUGAGACAAAACAAGGCGAUGUUUUGGUUCACGGAGGGUCCAAGAGGCACUGUGUGUGGAGGGGAAUAGUAAGCCCAUACCGAUGGGGCCUGUCAUGGGCUUCCCAGCAGCCUCGGAGGACUCAGAUCGCCCCUGACAUCUCUAGGCCAUCAACAAGGAUGGAGCUUGGAAAAGCUGGCCACUGUAUCGCAGGUCCACUAUCAGUCACUGUGUGCCUACAGAUCAUAGGGAUGACAGAGGGAAGGUGAUGGUCACUGUCCCUGAUUCAGUUAGCUGAGACUUAUUGUUAACGAGCGCAUGAAUAAUAAAAAUCAGUGCCUGAUUACCAGCUGCCUGGGCUGCUUAGUGAGCAGUUUCUCCAGUGUUUCCUGUGCGUCAGGUCCUGGGUUCAGUACUUUAUAUGCCAUGAUUACGGCUGACACCAGAUUCACUUUUUUGCUUAUGUAUCAAGUGUCAUCCGAGGACGGUCUC
rnacentral:lncRNA from 1 species